UACAGAGGGUGCGAGCGUUAAUCGGAAUUACUGGGCGUAAAGCGUGCGUAGACGGUUUCGUAAGUCGGAUGUGAAAUCCCCGGGCUCAACCUGGGAAUUGCAUUCGAAACUGCAAGGCUAGGGUGCGGAAGAGGGAAGCGGAAUUUCCGGUGUAGCGGUGAAAUGCGUAGAUAUCGGAAGGAACACCAGUGGCGAAAGCGACUUCCUGGUCGAAUACUGACGUUCAUGUGCGAAAGCGUGGGGAGCAAACAGG
rnacentral:rRNA from 1 species